CACAGGCACUGGGGGCUCUUAGAUCUGACCAGUAGAAUACACCUGUAUAGGAGUCCUGUUGUACCUGUAGUGUGUCUAAAACAAAACUUUUGACUGUUUCCAGAGAUCACAGCUUGAUCCAAGAAUGAAUUUUAAUUUUCAAAAAUGCCCAAUCUGGUGAUUAGGGUAAAUGGUAAAGUUGUAAGGGAUAGUCAUAAAAUAGGAUCCUUAAGUCUAAAGUCAAUGCUUCUGGAAAGGUUUCAGUUGUGUUGUGAAAUGUGGAAAGAGGCUUAGAAUACAUGCCUUAGCUCAAAGGGGGGAGAAUUUGAAUGAUGGCAAUAAUUUA
rnacentral:lncRNA from 1 species